UUAGUAGACAGAAGCUUCGGUGGAAGAUUACUAAUGAGAGUGGCGAACGGGUGAGUAACGCGUGAGCAACCUGCCUAUGACAGUGGGAUAGCCUCGGGAAACCGGGAUUAAUACCGCAUAAAAUCGUAGAAACACAUGUUUUAGCGGUCAAAGAUUUAUCGGUCAUAGAUGGGCUCGCGUCUGAUUAGCUAGUUGGUGAGAUAACAGCCCACCAAGGCGACGAUCAGUAGCCGGUCUGAGAGGAUGAACGGCCACAUUGGAACUGAGACACGGUCCAAGCUCCUACGGGAGGCAGCAGUGGGGAAUAUUGCACAAUGGGGGAAACCCUGAUGCAGCGACGCCGCGUGAACGAAGAAGGUAUUCGUAUCGUAAAGUUCUGUCCUAUGGGAAGAUAAUGACAGUACCAUAGAAGAAAGCUCCGGCUAAAUACGUGCCAGCAGCCGCGGUAAUACGUAUGGAGCGAGCGUUGUCCGGAAUUAUUGGGCGUAAAGGGUACGCAGGCGGUUUAAUAAGUCGAAUGUUAAAGAUCGGGGCUCAACCCCGUAAAGCAUUGGAAACUGAUAAACUUGAGUAGUGGAGAGGAAAGUGGAAUUCCUAGUGUAGUGGUGAAAUACGUAGAUAUUAGGAGGAAUACCAGUAGCGAAGGCGACUUUCUGGACACAAACUGACGCUGAGGUACGAAAGCGUGGGGAG
rnacentral:rRNA from 2 species